rnacentral:rRNA from 1 species
AUUGAACGCUGGCGGCAUGCCUUACACAUGCAAGUCGAACGGUAACAGGUCUUCGGAUGCUGACGAGUGGCGAACGGGUGAGUAAUACAUCGGAACGUGCCCGAGAGUGGGGGAUAACGAGGCGAAAGCUUUGCUAAUACCGCAUACGAUCUCAGGAUGAAAGCAGGGGACCGCAAGGCCUUGCGCUCACGUAGCGGCCGAUGGCAGAUUAGGUAGUUGGUGGGAUAAAAGCUUACCAAGCCGACGAUCUGUAGCUGGUCUGAGAGGACGACCAGCCACACUGGGACUGAGACACGGCCCAGACUCCUACGGGAGGCAGCAGUGGGGAACUUUGGACAAUGGGCGCAAGCCUGAUCCAGCCAUGCCGCGUGCAGGAUGAAGGCCUUCGGGUUGUAAACUGCUUUUGUACGGAACGAAAAGACUCCUUCUAAUAAAGGGGGUCCAUGACGGUACCGUAAGAAUAAGCACCGGCUAACUACGUGCCAGCCGCCGCAGUAAUAC